AUUGAACGCUGGCGGCAGGCCUAACACAUGCAAGUCGAACGGUAACAGGAAGAAGCUUGUUUUUUUGCUUUCGAGUGGCGGACGUGUGUGUCAUGUCUGUGAAACUCCCUGAUGACGGGGGAUACCUCCUGGAAACGGUAGCUAUUACCGCAUAUUGUCUCAAGCCCAAAGAGGGGGACUUUCGGGCCUCUUUCCUUCCACUUUGCCGGGGUGGGAGUAGCUAGUAGGUGGGGUAUCGGGUCACCUAGGCCACGAUCCGUAGCUGAUCUGAGAGGAUGACCGGCCACACUGGAACUGAGACACGGUCCAGACUCCUACGGGAGGCAGCAGUAGGGAAUAUUGCGCAAUGGGCGAAAGCCUGACGGAGCAACGCCGCGUGAGUGAUGAAGGUCUUCGGAUCGUAAAGCACUGUUAGUAGGGAAGAACAGAGGAGAAAGAAAACCUGCACUCAUUGACGGUACCUGAUGAGGAAGCAACGGCUAACUACGUG
rnacentral:rRNA from 1 species